CUUUUUUUGGUGGGGCUUCUCUGGUGGCUCAAAUGGUAAAGAAUCCACCUGCAAGGCAGGAGACCUGGGUUCAAACCCCUGGAGAAGGGAGUGUACCAAUUCUUAUUUUCAUUUUCCCUUCACUCUUUGUAUUUUGCCCUACACUUUCACUGGGUAUAAAUUCAACUGAAAUACACUUUAAAAUUAAAAUACACACAUGCAUCCAAUGAUGCUUAACUUACCUCCUUUCUAAAUAGCAUUCUGUAGUUUUAAGAGAAAAAAAGACUCCAAAGUAAAGUGACUGUUUACAAAGGAUCUAUCAUCUGACUCUUUUAAUCACAUUUUUUUUUUUUUCAGAGAAAUUUAGGGUUUUCUAUCCUAUUCAUUCAAGGCUUGAAGUUUUAUACCAGUGUUACUAGUGUUUUUUAGAAAUUCCAUCAUGAUGAUAUUUUACAAAGAUUGCUCUAUCAACUAUUUUGUUCUUACACACUUCCUCAGAAAAGACACCGUUAUAUACUUCUGUGAAGAGGAAGUGGCAUUCUUAUAAGUAAUUUUCAGUUCUUUUUGACAACUUAAAUCAAGAAUGACUGCAAACAUCUCAGAAUUUUUUCAAUGCACAGUUAUUCUCCUAUCUAAACAUAAGAUUCUUCAGUUAAAUUAAGUGAAUAGAUGUGUUUAAAUGAAAGAAAAAAGAAGGACCAAAAUGCUACAAUUCAAACCUCUGGAUGGAGAUUUCACGAUAAUAAAACACUUCCUACUAAUAUUGUUUAAGUUACAGAGAAAGCUGACCAGAUAAAUGGGCAUAAACUUAAAUUAUAAUCAAAAUCAUAUUUUAAUUGAAAUUAAAGAGCUGAAAUUGACCCUAGAAAGCUAGUCUCUUCAAUCUGACAGAGGAAGAACCAACUAGAGACCAAAGAAUAUUGAGUGCCUACCAUGAGCCACUUUCUGGACAAAGGCUUUUCUCACUUGAUUAUCACAGUUUUCCCAUCAAGUAUUUAUUACACCUAUUUUAUCAAGGAAAGUGGUGUCAUGGCAAGACUGAUACAGCUAGUUAGGAGCAGAGAUGUUCUCAUAGCCCAGAUUUCCAGGUAUCAAUUUAAGGAUCCUUUUAACUAUGCCACUCCCAUGUAAUAUUUUUGGAAAUUGCUCAUUGUGAUGUCACAAUACUUUAAAACAUUAUAAACACAGAAAUAGAGUACCCUAGAACCUUGACAUAAGACUCUUUGUUAAAGAACAGAGCUCCUGAAAACAAGAUUAUUCCUUCUUGACUGCUAAGAAAAGGAGCAUUAGCAGUUAAACGUUACAUGCACCUCAUGGGCCCCAAGACAUAAUUGUACUGAGGCUCCUAGGCACCUAAAUCCCUAUUCACUUGGCUUCUAAAUGACUUCAUGACAGUAUCAUUUAUUCAAGUUGUAGUUGGCCAUUUCUCAUUUAUAGUCUACUCUGACAUCUGGACUCCAUUAAGAAGGAUAGGGAAAGAUUUUCACACUCGCAGAAAUAAAUGAAGAUAUUUCAGCACGCCUAAAGAAACACUGAAAUCCCUGGAGCAAGGAGCAACACCCAUUUCCUGUUCAGAGCUAGGAAAAGGCAUUUUCAUCAUCUUGCAUGACACAGAUGUCAGCGAGGGAUUGACCACUGAGGUGACCACCAUCGCCAGCAAACUCCUGCACCCAGUUUCAGCAGGACAGGAAAUGUCAAUUUUUUCAUGUAUGCAUGAAACUUAUCUAUUAUAAAUCAAUGUUAUGUCAAUUAAACAAAUUAUAAAACUCAAAAACAAAGACCUAAAUAAUAAAACAAAAAAAGCCAAGACAACUAGCGAUUCAGGUUAUUAACACAAGAAUGUGUCUUCAUGCUAAAAGUCUAAGAACUCUGACAAAAAGAAUAUCCAGCUUGCAAACAGGGCAUUAAACAAAUGAGAGGGAAUUAACAUGUGGUUGUUUUAAUACACAGCGGAGUGAAGAGCGAGGCAUUUCUACAAACUCUAAGGUCCAGAUUUGAAGCAAGGGGCUCCCUAUCAUAAGAGUGAAGCAAGGCUCCUGGAGCAGGAGUUUAAGCAAAGGGUUUUUAAGCCUCUGAUGAGGUUAAGAACCAGCUUCUAAGAAUUUAGAGUUUCAAACUGAAAGGUAAGACUAUAUAAGGCAAGAAAGACCACACACUUCCUGGACCUAAGGCCUCCCAGAAACCAUACUUGUUCACCACUCUACCCCACCCAGUCCACCUCCUCCCUCCGGCUUUGCCCCACAGACUGUCAACUUCUAGGUGUUCAUGAAUUUAGAACUCCUUAGUUUCCCGUUAUGCAUCAGGAGAUGGAAUCAAACACCCCUCCACAGUGAGACUGGUUUGUUGGGGAAAGGGUGGGGAUGUAUUCAAAAACACUUUAAAAGGGAAACUCUUUGAAAGUUCUACUCGGAUAAGUCCUGGAGAAUAAUUUUCUAACAUCAAAAAAUAGUUUUCAGCAGUGUUAUCCUGAUUUAGCAGAGGAUGCCUUCUUGUCAGCCUUUCAACACAGCUGUUGACAAGACAGAAGGAGUCUCAGGAAGUUCUGGCUGGAUACUGAGAAGAGCGAGGCACCAGAUGCAACCCACUUGAGAAGUAGAUGUUUAAACACCAAGGACUGGCAUGUUUGACCGCCUGUGUCAAAAUCAAGUCUGCCUCUCCGCCUACCAGGACCGCAAAACAAUGUUCAUUUCACUAUCCAUGAAUAAAUGGGAAAAGAAAUAAAAGCAGGCUGUUUCCUUUUUUCGUAGAAGGAGUUGCAGACUUUUGUCAUACGGCUUGGUUGGGCG